rnacentral:tRNA from 1 species
AUUAAUAUGGCAGAAUUAAUGCAAUGAAUUUAAAAUUCACUUAUAAAUUUAAUAUUUUAUUAAUUAUAA